AGCAGCCGCGGUAAUUCCAGCUCCAAUAGCGUAUAUUAAAGUUGUUGCAGUUAAAAAGACUCGUAGUUGAAUUUCGGGGUUAGUAGGUUGGUCAUGCCUCUGGUAUGUACUGGUCUCACUGUAUUCCUCCUUCCUGAUGAGCCGUAAUGCCAUUAAUUUGGUGUUGCGGGAAUCAGGACUGUUACUUUGAAAAAAUUAGAGUGUUUAAAGCAGGCUCACGCUUGAAUACAUUAGCAUGGAAUAAUGAAAUAGGACGUUUGAUUCUAUUUUGUUGGUUUCUAGGAUCGACGUAAUGAUUAAUAGGGAUAGGUUGGGGGCAUUAGUAUUCAAUUGUCAGAGGUGAAAUUCUUGGAUUUAUUGAAGACUAACUACUGCGAAAGCAUUUGCCAAGGAUUGU
rnacentral:rRNA from 1 species